GGGGCUGUAGCGCAGAGGUCGACGCACCAAUACUGCAUGUUGGAGGACGCCGGUUCGAAUCCGGCCGGCUCCG
rnacentral:tRNA from 1 species